CUUUGAUGUGCUGCAGGUGCAGCCCUGAAAAAAGAAAAAAAAAAAAGAUGCAAAAAUGUCUUUCUAGGACAGAGGCAGCAAUGCCUGGAAAUGAAACCCUGGUGGAAAAUUGAGAUGCAGACAGAAAGGGAAUGGGGUCUAACAAGAUGGAACAAGGCAGAGAGACCUUGGUUGGAUUUCAGUGGGGUUCUUGGAGUGGAGUGUUCCUUCACAAGGAGCACUUUUAGAUUCCAACUUGGAGCUCGGUAUGACCACACCUUAGUCUAUUUCCAGGGCUCUGGCUCAGGUCUCUCCUUUCUAGUUCUCUCUUCAGUGCCCAGUGAAUUUAAAGCUCUUGGAAUAAAAAAGGAGGGAAGGUCAGAAGAAUUUCACAGCCCCUUGGUGAAUAGUAGACGAGGUGCAGAGAAAUCUGGAUACAAAAAUCUAGUACAGUCUUAUCUUGGGGGUCUGGUGGAUAUGCAGAAGACAAUUUCACCUUGUCACCCAAAAAUUAACCAGUGAGCAAAGAGGGCUCCUGACCAAGCAUCUGAAAUAAUCGUGAUCAGCAGUGAAUCCAGUGAUGAAGAUGGGCCCCCCAAGCCUGGAGCUCAGCAUCAAGUUGUGGACCACAUGAGGUGGGUGAGGAUGGCCAGCUUUGGAGCUAUGGAAUCUCAGGCAUCUGAAUUCAGAGCUCUUGUUUCCUGAAUGCAUUUUACUUUGAGUGCACUUCACAGCCAAUGGUUCAGCUCCUCCUGGGAACCUGUUCUCUGCAUUUACCUCAUGUGGCACUUUGGGAAAUGUGGCGGGCAAGCCCUUAUUCAUUGAAUAUGUGUGUUCAUGCGUAGACAUUAGAGUAGAAAUGAGCUAGCAUAUUUAUUUGUUUUUUUCCCUUUUACAUGAUCAUGCCUAUUGUGGUAUAAUAAAAAUUUGCAUUUGAUCCUUUCUCUAGUUCUU
rnacentral:lncRNA from 1 species